CAGUAGGGAAUCUUCCGCAAUGGGCGAAAGCCUGACGGAGCAACGCCGCGUGAGUGAUGAAGGUCUUCGGAUCGUAAAACUCUGUUAUCAGGGAAGAACAAAUGUGUAAGUAACUGUGCACAUCUUGACGGUACCUGAUCAGAAAGCCACGGCUAACUACGUGCCAGCAGCCGCGGUAAUACGUAGGUGGCAAGCGUUAUCCGGAAUUAUUGGGCGUAAAGCGCGCGUAGGCGGUUUUUUAAGUCUGAUGUGAAAGCCCACGGCUCAACCGUGGAGGGUCAUUGGAAACUGGAAAACUUGAGUGCAGAAGAGGAAAGUGGAAUUCCAUGUGUAGCGGUGAAAUGCGCAGAGAUA
rnacentral:rRNA from 2 species